rnacentral:rRNA from 1 species
UACAGAGGUCUCAAGCGUUGUUCGGAUUCAUUGGGCGUAAAGGGUGUGUAGGUGGCGCGCUAAGUCGGGUGUGAAAUUUCGGAGCUUAACUCCGAAACUGCAUUCGAUACUGGCGUGCUUGAGGACUGGAGAGGAGACUGGAAUUCAUGGUGUAGCAGUGAAAUGCGUAGAGAUCAUGGAGGAAGACCAGUGGCGAAGGCGGGUCUCUGGACAGUUCCUGACGCUGAGGCACGAAGGUCAGGGGAGCAAACGGG